rnacentral:lncRNA from 1 species
GAAGGUCUGAGGAACGGAGCUCCCGGAAGUAAAGGCAUUGCCUCACAUUUGAGUACACCUGGCAACAGUACUUAAGGAAGGAAAGGUUUGCACUGGCCCGCAGUCUGAAGGAGGACAGAGGACACAAGGCAAUGAGAGCAGCUCUAGGUGUAGCCGUGGGAGCCCGAUAUAGCUGGACGCGCUGCAUCUGAAGGUCUAGGACAGACACGCUUGGCUAUAGCCCUCACAUCACGUACUCGGACAUAGCUGCAGUGGCAAUUGGAAAUGGAAGUUAGAAUCCUUAGCUUGUCAAGCCAGUAUUAGCAGCCUUUUUGCCAUAGGAAAGCACCAGCAUGACUUCAGGAUUUGUGGUCAGAAGCACGAGGUGGAGAAGUCCUGAUACAAUCUUUGUACUGUACGGUUGCCGUCUGGACUUCAUUGACUAUCCCGGAGCGAUCCAGCACAAGUGACAAGUGAAGACCUUGGCUGUGUUUCAGAAGCACAAUUACAACUCUUGGGGUAAAGAGCCUCAGCGACAAGGCCCAGGAAAGCAGGUGUAUUGAGAAUUAGAGAGACUCGGAGCGGGCCCCAGAGGAGAGGUAGGGAGUGGUCCUGGCAGCUGUUGGAUGAAGCAGGUUGGAAGGGCCUUGAGAGCAGAGGUCUGUUGUUUAACAUCAUCUUCGAGUGUACCCUAGCACGGCGGUCUCGGCUGGAGAGAUUUUCUGUGUGCUGAACUUAGAUGGAUAUGUCAAAGUGUACUCAAGCUUUCUUGAACUUUUUCCCCAUCUGAAAUCACUAAAAAUGUGCAGUAUUUCAAAAAGCCCAAGUUUGCCUCCAAAUAUGCUUGUGAAAUGUAUUUCAACACACAUAUCCAACAGUAAGAACAUGCUGGCCAUAUCAAUCCUCACAGCAACUCUUUAUUGCAGCAUAUUGAGGUUUAAUCAGGAAACAGGUUAGAGCUUCUAUGUACAGGUUUUCUUCUAGUUUGAGGUUUUCCUGAAAUAUGUGACACAGACUCGUUAUACAAAUGGCCACUAGUAAAUUAUUUCCAGCAUGUGUUACUCUGUCAACAGUGAUGCUUUCACAGAACCUUUGUCCUCCACAAUUCCCCCCCUCCAUUUAAACCAGGACAUUUCCAUCUCAGUGAGCCACUGCUGUAUUUGGGACCUAAGCGAGAAGCUGGAUAAACAGAGGCGCUAUUAUUAUUGUUACUGUCAAUAUAGUUUCCUUCCCUAGUUAUAACUGAUUAUUUCCUUUUUUCCAUUUCAAAACAUUUUUGUUCAAAUGCUUCUGAUGGCUCUCGUCACAAGCAAUAUUCCUUCGGAAAUAAUGCACCUUUUUAAUUUCUCAACCUAAAAUACACAGCCCGUCAUCUCCAUAGUAGGAUGAUGCUGUUAGAGAGAUCAGCUGUGUCUAGUUGGAGAAUUUUUAGGGGAAUAAGGGAUUACAGGAGCGAGUGCUUCCUCUAUUAGUUCGUGCAAAGUGAAGACAAGAAAGAAAGUCUGUAGGAUGUAAGAGGUGAUGUUACUCCAGCAAGAGUUGGGCAUUUGGAAACACAUGGAGUUAAAAGCAGUUUUCACUUAAUGUGCUUUGUUGUUUCUGCUACAAUAAAAAUAAAUAAUAAAAA